GAUGAACGCUGGCGGCGUGCCUAAUACAUGCAAGUCGAGCGAAUGGAUUAAGAGCUUGCUCUUAUGAAGUUAGCGGCGGACGGGUGAGUAACACGUGGGUAACCUGCCCAUAAGACUGGGAUAACUCCGGGGAACCGGGGCUAAUACCGGAUAACAUUUUGAACCGCAUGGUUCGAAAUUGAAAGGCGGCUUCGGCUGUCACUUAUGGAUGGACCCGCGUCGCAUUAGCUAGUUGGUGAGGUAACGGCUCACCAAGGCAACGAUGCGUAGCCGACCUGAGAGGGGGAUCGGCCACGCUGGGACUGGGACACGGCCCAGACUCCUACGGGAGGCAGAAGUAGGGAAUCUUCCGCAAUGGACGAAAGUCUGACGGAGCAACGCCGCGUGAGUGAUGAAGUCUUUCGGGUCGUAAAACUCUGUUGUUAGGGAAGAACAAGUGCUAGUUGAAUAAGCUGGCACCUUGACGGUACCUAACCAGAAAGCCACGGCUAACUACGUGCCAGCAGCCGCAGUAA
rnacentral:rRNA from 1 species